AGAGUUUGAUCCUGGCUCAGGAUGAACGCUGGCGGCGUGCUUAACACAUGCAAGUCGAGCGAUCUUCUUCGGAAGAGAGCGGCGGACGGGUGAGUAACGCGUGGGUAACCUGCCUCAUACACAUGGAUAACAUACCGAAAGGUAUGCUAAUACAAGAUGAUAUAAGAGAUUCGCAUGGAUUUCUUAUCAAAGCUCCGGCGGUAUGAGAUGGACCCGCGUCUGAUUAGCUAGUUGGUAAGGUAACGGCUUACCAAGGCGACGAUCAGUAGCCGACCUGAGAGGGUGAUCGGCCACAUUGGAACUGAGACACGGUCCAAACUCCUACGGGAGGCAGCAGUGGGGAAUAUUGCACAAUGGGCGAAAGCCUGAUGCAGCAACGCCGCGUGAGCGAUGAAGGCCUUCGGGUCGUAAAGCUCUGUCCCCAAGGAAGAUAAUGACGGUACUUGAGGAGGAAGCCCCGGCUAACUACGUGCCAGCAGCCGCGGUAAUACGUAGGGGGCUAGCGUUAUCCGGAUUUACUGGGCGUAAAGGGUGCGUAGGUGGUUUCUUAAGUCAGGAGUGAAAGGCUACGGCUCAACCGUAGUAAGCUCUUGAAACUGGGAAACUUGAGUGCAGGAGAGGAAAGUGGAAUUCCUAGUGUAGCGGUGAAAUGCGUAGAUAUUAGGAGGAACACCAGUAGCGAAGGCGGCUUUCUGGACUGUAACUGACACUGAGGCACGAAAGCGUGGGGAGCAAACAGGAUUAGAUACCCUGGUAGUCCACGCCGUAAACGAUGAGUACUAGGUGUCGGGGGUUACCCCCCUCGGUGCCGCAGCUAACGCAUUA
rnacentral:rRNA from 1 species